rnacentral:rRNA from 1 species
UAGGGAAUCUUCUGCAAUGGACGAAAGUCUGACGGAGCAACGCCGCGUGAGUGAAGAAGGAUUUCGGUUCGUAAAACUCUGUUGUUAGGGAAGAAAAAAUGUAUAGUAACUAUAUACAAAAGAGACGGUACCUAACCAGAAAGCCACGGCUAACUACGUGCCAGCAGCCGCGGUAAUACGUAGGUGGCAAGCGUUGUCCGGAAUUAUUGGGCGUAAAGCGCGCGCAGGUGGUUUAGAAAGUCUGAUGUGAAAGCCCACGGCUCAACCGUGGAGGGUCAUUGGAAACUAAUAAACUUGAGUGCAGGAGAGAAAAGUGGAAUUCCUAGUGUAGCGGUGAAAUGCGUAGAGAUUAGGAGGAACACCGGUGGCGAAAGCGGCUUUUUGGCCUGCAACUGACACUGAGGCGCGAAAGCGUGGGGAGCAAACAGG